rnacentral:rRNA from 1 species
UUGAACGCUGGCGGCAGGCCUAACACAUGCAAGUCGAGCGGAUGAAGGGAGCUUGCUCCUGGAUUCAGCGGCGGACGGGUGAGUAAUGCCUAGGAAUCUGCCUGGUAGUGGGGGAUAACGUCCGGAAACGGGCGCUAAUACCGCAUACGUCCUGAGGGAGAAAGUGGGGGAUCUUCGGACCUCACGCUAUCAGAUGAGCCUAGGUCGGAUUAGCUAGUUGGUGGGGUAAAGGCCUACCAAGGCGACGAUCCGUAACUGGUCUGAGAGGAUGAUCAGUCACACUAGAACUGAGACACGGUCCAGACUCCUACGGGAGGCAGCAGUGGGGAAUAUUGGACAAUGGGCGAAAGCCUGAUCCAGCCAUGCCGCGUGUGUGAAGAAGGUCUUCGGAUUGUAAAGCACAUUAAGUUGGGAGGAAGGGCAGUAAGUUAAUACCUUGCUGUUUUGACGUUACCAACAGAAUAAGCACCGGCUAACUUCGUG